AGGGCACCACCAGGAGUGGAGCCUGCGGCUUAAUUUGACUCAACACGGGGAAACUCACCCGGCCAGGACACAAUAAGGAUUGACAGAUUGAUAGCUCUUUCUUGAUUUUGUGGGUGGUGGUGCAUGGCCGUUCUUAGUUGGUGGAGCGAUUUGUCUGGUUAAUUCCGAUAACGAACGAGACUCUAGCCUAUUAAAUAGACGAUAUAUUAUUAGUUUAUCGAGCUUCUUAGAGGGACAGGCAGCUUCUAGCUGCACGAGAUUGAGCAAUAACAGGUCUGUGAUGCCCUUAGAUGUCCGGGGCUGCACGCGCGCUACAAUGAUAAUAGCAGCGUGCAUUAAAACCUUUUCUGGUAAGAAUUGGUAAACACGAAAUAUUGUCGUGCUUGGGAUAGGGGAUUGAAAUUAUUGCCCUUAAACGAGGAAUUCCCAGUAAGUGCGAGUCAUUAGCUUGCGUUGAUUACGUCCCUGCCCUUUGUACACACCGCCCGUCGCUACUACCGAUUGGAAGAUUUAGUGAAU
rnacentral:rRNA from 1 species